ACCUUCGUGGUGUAGUGGUCAGCACGCUCGGCGCGUAUUCGAGAGGUCCAUGGUUCGAGUCCCGGCGACGGCA
rnacentral:tRNA from 1 species